ACUAUUGUUGAUUUUUUGUAUUAACUGUUUUUACUAUUUACAAAGUUAUACAUAUAUAUUAUUUGUUCACGGUCAUGGAUAUUUUAGAUUAUAUUAAUUAUUCAGAUGAUGAAGUCGUUAAUAAUGAUGCUUAUGAAAGCGAUCCAGAUGAUAAUUUAUUUGUACUUGCUGAAUUAGUAGCUUUCCCAUGACGAACCAAAAUUAUUCGAGAACGACCAGAUCAUUUUCAAAUUUGGAGAGAUCAUGGAUUUUUACAACAAUUUUACCUG